CGUACCCAUCCCGAACACGACCGUUAAGCCCUCUAGCGCCGAUGGUACUUGGACCGCAGGGUCCUGGGAGAGUAGGACGCCGCCAAGC
rnacentral:rRNA from 1 species